GCUCUGAUGGCCUAUUGGUAAGAGCGACCGCCUUAGGUGCGGGAUGUAGCGGGUUCGAAGUCCGGCCAAGUCUGAGUC